CUGGACGUCCCAUCUGUGCAGCAUCACCUGCAACGGGUGCAGCGGGUGUGGACCCGGACGAGAGCGGUCCUGCUGCGCACUGCUGAGCGCAACAAACGCCAGGCUGAUCGUCGCCGCCGUCCUGCCCCCACAUACUCACCUGGCCAGAAGGUGUGGCUAUCCGCCAAGGAUAUCCCUCUGCGGAAUAUGCCUCCUAAGCUGGCUCCUCGCUUCAUUGGUCCCUACGAGGUCGUCUCCUUGGUGGGGUCUUCCGCCGUUCGACUCCGUCUUCCUUCCUCGCUCAGGGUUCAUCCCACCUUUCAUGUGUCCCAGAUCAAGCCUGUCUUGACCAGUCCUUUGUGCCCUCCGGCCGGGCCCCCUCCACCCGCCCGGGUCGUUGGUGGCGCUCCGGCCUUUACGGUCCGUCGCAUCCUGGAUGUUCGCCGCCGCGGCCGUGGGUUUCAGUAUCUGGUGGAUUGGGUCGGUUACGGUCCGGAGGAGCGGUCUUGGAUUCCCCGGCGUUUCAUCCUGGAUCCUGCCAUGGUGUCUGCUUUCCACCGUUCCCGGCGGCGGGCGGCUGUUGGGCCGCCUGGGGGCGUCCCUUGAGGGGGGGGUACUGUCAUGUUUUGGUGUGUGUCUGAGUUUGCAGGUCAGGGUGAGCAGGUUACCAUGGGGACUGAGGGCGGAGUCUGGAGCCACAAUUGCUGCCACCUGUCUCACAUCAGCAGGCUCAUUAUCUAACUCUACUCCCUGCUAUUUAGGGGCAAGCAGGAGCUCCAGUCUUCGCCAGAUUGUCACACUUUACUGCGUGCUCUAGAUCUCGAUCCCCUGGAUAACCACAGCACCCAGGAUAUUAACCAACUGCUUGCCAAGCCGACUGCCUGCCUGCUCGCCCUGCCUGCAACCGAACACUCUCACCACCUCCCGGUUACCCCCUCCAGCUCUAGCCUUUCUCUGGAAUUCAAAAGACCCACCGGACCUGGACCUUGCCACUCACAAUCACUGUAAUAAAUAUUGUUUGCAUCUUACCUCAUCUCUCCGAGUGUUACUGCAUUUGGGUCCGGUUCCUGGUACUACGGUCUCCG